GGACUCGUAACUCAGUGGUAGAGUGUACGCCUGAUAAGCGUAAAGUCGAUCGUUCAAUCCGAUUCGGGCCCA
rfam:Ectocarpus siliculosus strain Ec 32, whole genome shotgun sequence assembly, unassigned sequences LGTn